CCUACGGGAGGCAGCAGUAAGGAAUAUUGGUCAAUGGACGGAAGUCUGAACCAGCCAUGCCGCGUGCAGGAAGACGGCCCUACGGGUUGUAAACUGCUUUUGCAGGGGAAUAAACCCCGAUACGUGUAUCGGGCUGAAUGUACUCUGAGAAUAAGGAUCGGCUAACUCCGUGCCAGCAGCCGCGGUAAUACGGAGGAUCCAAGCGUUAUCCGGAUUUAUUGGGUUUAAAGGGUGCGUAGGUGGCCUGUUAAGUCAGGGGUGAAAGACGGUAGCUUAACUAUCGCAGUGCCCUUGAUACUGAUGGGCUUGAAUAAACUAGAGGUAGGCGGAAUGUGACAAGUAGCGGUGAAAUGCAUAGAUAUGUCACAGAACACCAAUUGCGAAGGCAGCUUACUAUGGUUUUAUUGACACUGAGGCACGAAAGCGUGGGGAUCGAAACAGGAUUAGAUACCCUGGUAGUCCAGCCCUAAACGAUGAAUACUCGAUGUUGGCGAUAUACGGUCNGCGUCUAGAGAAGAGUAGUAUUCACGUGGAGACGCCGCGAGGNGAAGACGAAGAAGUAGAGCGNGAGACGNGCGAGCGACGACGAGGGAGAGG
rnacentral:rRNA from 1 species